rnacentral:lncRNA from 1 species
CGCCCAAAAAUCAGCCCCCGAAGGUCGGGGUCCCAAGACCCCCCAGCGGAAAAAUGGCCAAAAAACGGGUGGGCUAUAGCCUUGGUGGGGGCCGUGGGCGAAGUUCGUCCGCGGGACUCGGAAUGGCCCCAGACUUGGCGGGCAGCCUCCGUGUGCCAAAAAUAGGCCACGGGCACAGCCGCGCCCAAAAAUCAGCCCCCGAAGGUCGGGGUCACAAGACCCCCCAGCGGAAAAAUGGCCAAGAAACGGGUGGGCUAUAGCCUUGGUGGGGGGCGUGGGCGAAGUUCAUCCGCGGGACUCGGAAUGGCCCCAGACUUGGCGGGCGGCCUCCGUGUGCCAAAAAUAGGCCACGGGCACAGCCGCGCCCAAAAAUCAGCCCCCGAAGGUCGGGGUCCCAAGACCCCCCAGCGGAAAAAUGGCCAAGAAACGGGUGGGCUAUAGCCUUGGUGGGGGGCGUGGGCGAAGUUCGUCCGCGGGACUCGGAAUGGCCCCAGUCUUGGCGGGCGGCCUCCGUGUGCCAAAAAUAGGCCACGGGCACAGCCGCGCCCAAAAAUCAGCCCCCGAAGGUCGGGGUCACAAGACCCCCCAGCGGAAAAAAGGCCAAGAAACGCGUGGGCUAUAGCCUUGGUGGGGGGCGUGGGCGAAGUUCGUCCGCGGGACUCGGAAUGGCCCCAGACUUGGCGGGCGGCCUCCGUGUGCCAAAAAUAGGCCACGGGCACAGCCGCGCCCAAAAAUCAGCCCCCGAAGGUCGGGGUCACAAGACCCCCCAGCGGAAAAAAGGCCAAGAAACGCGUGGGCUAUAGCCUUGGUGGGGGGCGUGGGCGAAGUUCGUCCGCGGGACUCGGAAUGGUACCAUACUUGGCGGGCGGCCUCCGUGUGCCAAAAAUAGGCCACGGGCACAGCCGCGCCCAAAAAUCAGCCCCCGAAGGUCGGGGUCACAAGACCCCCCAGCGGAAAAAAGGCCAAGAAACGCGUGGGCUAUAGCCUUGGUGGGGGGCGUGGGCGAAGUUCGUCCGCGGGACUCGGAAUGGCCCCAGACUUGGCGGGCGGCCGCCGUGUGCCAAAAAUAGGCCACGGGCACAGCCGCGCCCAAAAAUCAGCCCCCGAAGGUCGGGGUCCCAAGACCCCCCAGCGGAAAAAUGGCCAAAAAACGGGUGGGCUAUAGCCUUGGUGGGGGGCGUGGGCGAAGUUCGUCCGCGGGACUCGGAAUGGCCCCAGACUUGGCGGGCGGCCUCCGUGUGCCAAAAAUAGGCCACGGGCACAGCCGCGCCCAAAAAUCAGCCCCCGAAGGUCGGGGUCCCAAGACCCCCCAGCGGAAAAAUGGCCAAGAAACGCGUGGGCUAUAGCCUUGGUGGGGGGCGUGGGCGAAGUUCGUCCGCGGGACUCGGAAUGGCCCCAGACUUGGCGGGCGGCCUCCGUGUGCCAAAAAUAGGACACGGGCACAGCCGCGCCCAAAAAUCAGCCCCCGAAGGUCGGGGUCCCAAGACCCCCCAGCGGAAAAAUGGCCAAGAAACGGGUGGGCUAUAGCCUUGGUGGGAGGCGUGGGCGAAGUUCGUCCGCGGGACUCGGAAUGGCCCCAGACUUGGCGGGCGGCCUCCGUGUGCCAAAAAUAGGCCACGGGCACUGCCGCGCCCAAAAAUCAGCCCCCGAAGGUCGGGGUCCCAAGACCCCCCAGCGGAAAAAAGGCCAAGAAACGCGUGGGCUAUAGCCUUGGUUGGGGGCGUGGGCGAAGUUCGUCCGCGGGACUCGGAAUGGCCCCAGACUUGGCGGGCGGCCUCCGUGUGCCAAAAAUAGGCCACGGGCACAGCCGCGCCCAAAAAUCAGCCCCCGAAGGUCGGGGUCCCAUGACCCCCCAGCGGAAAAAUGGCCAAAAAAUGGGUGGGUUAUAGCCUUGGUGGGCAGCGUGGGCGAAGUUCGUCCGCGGGACUCAGAAUGGCCCCAGACUUGGCGGGCGGCCUCCGUGUACCAAAAAUAGGACACGGGCACAGCCGCGCCCAAAAAUCAGCCCCCGAAGGUUGG